UCGAGGGCUUGCUCGAUCUGGCACGCGAUCUGAGCCCCCGUUGAUGGAUUUCUCGCAGCUCGACUCGGUGGUCCUAUUCCUAUUUUAGUUUCUUCUUCUUACCUCUACUACAUCUUCAGAUUUUGUUUCUUCCCUCUAUUUGGCUCUUUGCUGGGUAUUUGUUUCUUGGAUUUUAGCUUCAUUUUUCUUUACUUCGUCUUCACCUGAUUAACUAUCCUUUUUGUACUGCUUAAUUUCUUUUGCAGGUACCUAUCUUUGGUGUUGAUUGCCGCUCACAUUCCUGUCAUCGCUUUGGUUUGUCUGUAGGUUAAGAAAACGAGCCCAAAGAAGUAAUGCGUCCAGCCAAACAACGGCAUUGUGGCAACGUGAUCCACAUUCGUUGUUCUCGAUAGUUUUGAGCAAUUUGUUCUGACUGCGCAAGUUGAGAGAGUCCAUGCCAAUUAACAAUGCAAGUGCAGCGGUAGGCGCCACUGGAUAUGCAAUACAGGGGCGUGUUCCUUGUGUAGAGCGCUGUGGUGAGCCGAGGCAUCACACUGAAGGAUACUAGCGGAGACCUGUUCACCAAAGAAUCAGGCAACGUGGUGAACGAGGUGAAGCUGAAGGUUGUUUACGCUCCGCCUUUGCAACCGGCAUCCAUAAAUGAGGGCUCUGAUUAGGAAAGUCUGGGCAGUCGGGAGUUAUCAAGAGGUAAAAUCUUGAUCUUAAGUGUCCGCUAUGGUUGUAACAACAUCAACCAAAUCUUGAUCAAGCACAUAGCAUAGAUCGCCAAGUGGGUGAUCACCGAGUUCACGAGAGUCGGUUUGGAGCCAUAGUCAAGCAGGGAAGCAGCUGUGGAGAGCCUGCGUUCAACCGGCGCGGCGAGGGGCAUCAGAUCAAGCAUUGACGACCGGGUUGUGCCAUAGGAAGGCUGAGAUACAUUAAUGGUAUACUCACAAUCGAGCUGCCAAACACACCAGCAAACAAAGAGGCCUUCGGGAAGGACCCGCUAAACCCAUCUGUACCUGGGCAUGAUUCGAUGUCAUUUCUUUCACCAGUCAAUCUGCUCACGGGUUAAUGGCACGGUGAGAUCAUCAAACCUUUCACUCUCUUGAUGAUAUCAUGAAGAUUGAAGCUGAUAUUAACCUGGUCAGACUGACCUAGGAGAUCUUUGUACAUCUAAAUAAGAAUUGGUUAUUUACCAAUAGGGAACGUGAUUCCAACAUGGAAAGAGCAGAUUGAGAAUGAGGUACAGGGGUUCAUGUCAUAAUCGCAAGUCAGAACAUAAAUUUUAUAUUACUAAAGAGUUCAUAUUUUAUUAGGAUCGGCAUAACCGUUUUGUUGGUCUAAUGUGUGUUGAAUGGCCUCGCCUAUUUAUACUAAACUGUUUUACUUUGUGAUAACUCAUGUUAUUGUCAAAUAUAUA